rnacentral:rRNA from 1 species
GUGGGGAAUCUUGCGCAAUGGGCGAAAGCCUGACGCAGCAACGCCGCGUGUGUGAUGAAGGUCUUCGGAUCGUAAAGCACUGUCGCGAGGGACGAUAUGCAAGGGGCUAACAUCCCCUUGCUAGGACGGUACCUCGAGAGGAAGCACCGGCUAACUCUGUGCCAGCAGCCGCGGUAAUACAGAGGGUGCGAGCGUUGUUCGGAAUUAUUGGGCGUAAAGCGCUUGUAGGCGGCCUGUCAAGUCGCGUGUGAAAUCCCUUGGCUUAACCAAGGAAGUGCGCGCGAAACUGGCGGGCUUGAGUGCCGGAGAGGGUCGCGGAAUUCCCGGUGUAGAGGUGAAAUUCGUAGAUAUCGGGAGGAACACCAGUGGCGAAGGCGGCGACCUGGACGGACACUGACGCUGAGACGCGAAAGCGUGGGGAGCAAACAGGAUUAGAAACCCGGGUAGUCC